AUACGGAGGAUGCGAGCGUUAUCCGGAUUUAUUGGGUUUAAAGGGUGCGUAGGCGGCUUUUUAAGUCAGCGGUGAAAGUCUGUGGCUCAACCGUAGAAUUGCCGUUGAAACUGGUAGGCUUGAGUAUGGUUAAGGUAGGCGGAAUGUGUGAUGUAGCGGUGAAAUGCUUAGAGAUUACACAGAAUACCGAUUGCGAAGGCAGGUUACUGGACCAUUACUGACGCUGAGGCACGAAAGCGUGGGGAGCGAACAGGAUUAGAUACCCUGGUAGUCCACGCCGUAAACGAUGAUCACUCGCUGUUAGCGAUACACAGUUAGCGGCUAAGCAAAAGCAUUAAGUGAUCCACCUGGGGAGUACGGCCGCAAGGCUGAAACUCAAAUGAAUUGACGG
rnacentral:rRNA from 1 species